CAUUAGAUUAAAUAUGUGCAUUUAACUGCAUUAUUUAAAAUUGCUCUGUUUUGCUUUGUAGAGCCUGAAGUUACUAAAGAGAAAGCUAAACGGACCCCUGGGAAGAAAGAGGCUGAAGUCAUCAAAGAGAAAGCUAAACCAGCCCCUGAAAAGAAAGAGGCUGAAGUCAAGGAGAAAGCUAAACCAGCUCCUGUAAAGAAAGAGCCUGAAGUUGCUAAAGAAAAGGCUCCUGAACCAAAACCCAAAAAAGGUGAAAAGACUGUCCCAUAGGCCUUCUAGAACAUUUUACAUUUGUAUCAUAAAUAUGGUUGGUCUAAUUAUAGCAAAAAAAAAUAAAAAAUCAUUGUUUGACAUGAUGAAACUUAAAUAUCCUUCUGUUUUAUAGAACCUGAAGCUGUUAAAGAGAAAGCUAAACCAGUCCCUAAGUUGAAAGGUUUGGUUUACUGUGUUAACAAUUAAAUUAACAAUGUCUGUGAGCAAUAUUUUGCUAAUAAUAUGUUAAAAUUAUUUAUAU
rnacentral:lncRNA from 1 species